UCGGGAUGGGUCGAGUCUCAUCGGGCACGCAUGCGCCCGCGGAACUUUCGAUCUGUUACCAUGGCGACGACGUGGGGCCUCAGGAAAAACGGAAAAUCGAGGGGCAUGUGACAUAUUGUGGCGGUAUAUUUUCGUGGGAUCGACCACGAGGGAAGGAACAGGAAGUUUCAGGGAAAUCUGGGGGAUGUUUCUUCUGGGACUUACAGCUUUAUGCGGAGAUUCCAGAGAUUUUGAGAUGAAGUAUCCGAUAGCUUUACACGACGAACGUGGGCGCCUCUCUCCAUUUAUUUUGUACCCCCGAGACACUCAUCGCAUUGCGAUGCUCCAGAGGCACCGAAUCACUCACCAUGUGUUUCUCACGGAUGCAGUAUCGAAUGCAAAUGAUAUUUCGAGAUAUUGAUUACCUGUCAGGGAGUGGUGGCUUCGGUGGCGGGCUCGAGUCCCUGAGGAUGGACUCGGAACUGUGGGA